AACGAACGCUGGCGGCAGGCCUAACACAUGCAAGUCGAACGCCGUAGCAAUACGGAGUGGCAGACGGGUGAGUAACACGUGGGAACGUACCCUUCGGUUCGGGAUAACUCAGGGAAACUUGAGCUAAUACCGGAUACGUCCGAGAGGAGAAAGAUUUAUUGCCGAGGGAUCGGCCCGCGUCUGAUUAGCUUGUUGGUGAGGUAACGGCUCACCAAGGCGACGAUCAGUAGCUGGUCNGAGAGGAUGAUCAGCCACAUUGGGACUGAGACACGGCCCAAACUCCUACGGGAGGCAGCAGUGGGGAAUAUUGGACAAUGGGCGCAAGCCUGAUCCAGCCAUGCCGCGUGAGUGAUGAAGG
rnacentral:rRNA from 1 species